UCUGAACCUUCGGGGAACGAUAACGGCGUCGAGCGGCGGACGGGUGAGUAAUGCCUAGGAAAUUGCCCUGAUGUGGGGGAUAACCAUUGGAAACGAUGGCUAAUACCGCAUGAUGCCUACGGGCCAAAGAGGGGGACCUUCGGGCCUCUCGCGUCAGGAUAUGCCUAGGUGGGAUUAGCUAGUUGGUGAGGUAAGGGCUCACCAAGGCGACGAUCCCUAGCUGGUCUGAGAGGAUGAUCAGCCACACUGGAACUGAGACACGGUCCAGACUCCUACGGGAGGCAGCAGUGGGGAAUAUUGCACAAUGGGCGCAAGCCUGAUGCAGCCAUGCCGCGUGUGUGAAGAAGGCCUUCGGGUUGUAAAGCACUUUCAGUCGUGAGGAAGGUAGUGUAGUUAAUAGCUGCAUUAUUUGACGUUAGCGACAGAAGAAGCACCGGCUAACUCCGUGCCAGCAGCCGCGGUAAUACGGAGGGUGCGAGCGUUAAUCGGAAUUACUGGGCGUAAAGCGCAUGCAGGUGGUUUGUUAAGUCAGAUGUGAAAGCCCGGGGCUCAACCUCGGAAUUGCAUUUGAAACUGGCAGACUAGAGUACUGUAGAGGGGGGUAGAAUUUCAGGUGUAGCGGUGAAAUGCGUAGAGAUCUGAAGGAAUACCGGUGGCGAAGGCGGCCCCCUGGACAGAUACUGACACUCAGAUGCGAAAGCGUGGGGAGCAAACAGGAUUAGAUACCCUGGUAGUCCACGCCGUAAACGAUGUCUACUUGGAGGUUGUGGCCUUGAGCCGUGGCUUUCGGAGCUAACGCGUUAAGUAGACCGCCUGGGGAGUACGGUCGCAAGAUUAAAACUCAAAUGAAUUGACGGGGGCCCGCACAAGCGGUGGAGCAUGUGGUUUAAUUCGAUGCAACGCGAAGAACCUUACCUACUCUUGACAUCCAGAGAACUUUCCAGAGAUGGAUUGGUGCCUUCGGGAACUCUGAGACAGGUGCUGCAUGGCUGUCGUCAGCUCGUGUUGUGAAAUGUUGGGUUAAGUCCCGCAACGAGCGCAACCCUUAUCCUUGUUUGCCAGCGAGUAAUGUCGGGAACUCCAGGGAGACUGCCGGUGAUAAACCGGAGGAAGGUGGGGACGACGUCAAGUCAUCAUGGCCCUUACGAGUAGGGCUACACACGUGCUACAAUGGCGCAUACAGAGGGCAGCCAACUUGCGAAAGUGAGCGAAUCCCAAAAAGUGCGUCGUAGUCCGGAUUGGAGUCUGCAACUCGACUCCAUGAAGUCGGAAUCGCUAGUAAUCGUGGAUCAGAAUGCCACGGUGAAUACGUUCCCGGGCCUUGUACACACCGCCCGUCACACCAUGGGAGUGGGCUGCAAAAGAAGUAGG
rnacentral:rRNA from 1 species